UGCUGAUUAACCAGUCUGUGAACCACUCACCAUCCUCUGACCUUAACUAUUACUCAAAAAUAAUUCAUAA